rnacentral:rRNA from 1 species
GAUGAACGCUGGCGGCGUGCCUAAUACAUGCAAGUCGAGCGAACGGACGAGAAGCUUGCUUCUCUGAUGUUAGCGGCGGACGGGUGAGUAACACGUGGAUAACCUACCUAUAAGACUGGGAUAACUUCGGGAAACCGGAGCUAAUACCGGAUAAUAUUUUGAACCGCAUGGUUCAAAAGUGAAAGACGGUCUUGCUGUCACUUAUAGAUGGAUCCGCGCUGCAUUAGCUAGUUGGUAAGGUAACGGCUUACCAAGGCAACGAUGCAUAGCCGACCUGAGAGGGUGAUCGGCCACACUGGAACUGAGCCACGGUCCAGCCUCCUACGGGAGGCAGCAGUAGGGAAUCUUCCGCAAUGGGCGAAAGCCUGACGGAGCAACGCCGCGUGAGUGAUGAAGGUCUUCGGAUCGUAAAACUCUGUUAUUAGGGAAGAACAUAUGUGUAAGUAACUGUGCACAUCUUGACGGUACCUAAUCAGAAAGCCACGGCUAACUACGUG